AACGCGAAGAACCUUACCUGGGCUCGAACGACUGGUAGUAGUCCGUAUGAAAGUAUGGGCGACCCGCAAGGGAGCCAGCCGAGGUGCUGCAUGGUUGUCGUCAGCUCGUGUCGUGAGAUGUUGGGUUAAGUCCCGCAACGAGCGCAACCCCUAUCCUGUGUUGCUACCCGCAAGGGAGGACUCUCAGGAGACUGCCGCGGAUAACGUGGAGGAAGGUGGGGCUGACGUCAAAUCAUCAUGGCCUUUAUGUCCAGGGCCACACACGUGCUACAAUGGCGCGUACAACGGGAUGCAAGACCGCAAGGUGGAGCCAAUCCCUCAAAGCGCGCCUCAGUUCAGAUUGUGGGCUGCAAUUCGCCCACAUGAAGGCGGAAUCGCUAGUAAUCGCAGAUCAGCAGGCUGCGGUGAAUACGUUCCCGGGCCUUGUA
rnacentral:rRNA from 1 species